GGCAGCAGUCGAGAAUCAUUCACAAUGGGGGAAACCCUGAUGGUGCGACGCCGCGUGGGGGAAUGAAGGUCUUCGGAUUGUAAACCCCUGUCAUGUGGGAGCAAAUUAAAAGAUAGUACCACAAGAGGAAGAGACGGCUAACUCUGUGCCAGCAGCCGCGGUAAUACAGAGGUCUCAAGCGUUGUUCGGAAUCACUGGGCGUAAAGCGUGCGUAGGCUGUUUCGUAAGUCGUGUGUGAAAGGCGCGGGCUCAACCCGCGGACGGCACAUGAUACUGCGAGACUAGAGUAAUGGAGGGGGAACCGGAAUUCUCGGUGUAGCAGUGAAAUGCGUAGAUAUCGAGAGGAACACUCGUGGCGAAGGCGGGUUCCUGGACAUUAACUGACGCUGAGGCACGAAGGCCAGGGGAGCGAAAGGGAUUAGAUACCCCUGUAGUCCUGGCAGUAAACGGUGCACGCUUGGUGUGCGGGGAAUCGACCCCCUGCGUGCCGGAGCUAACGCGUUAAGCGUGCCGCCUGGGGAGUACGGUCGCAAGAUUAAAACUCAAAGAAAUUGACGGGGACCCGCACAAGCGGUGGAGUAUGUGGCUUAAUUCGAUGCAACGCGAAGAACCUUACCUGGGCUUGACAUGUAAUGAACAACAUGUGAAAGCAUGCGACUCUUCGGAGGCGUUACACAGGUGCUGCAUGGCCGUCGUCAGCUCGUGUCGUGAGAUGUUUGGUUAAGUCCAGCAACGAGCGCAACCCCUGUUGCCAGUUACCAGCACGUGAAGGUGGGGACUCUGGCGAGACUGCCCAGAUCAACUGGGAGGAAGGUGGGGACGACGUCAGGUCAGUAUGGCCCUUAUGCCCAGGGCUGCACACGUACUACAAUGCCCAGUACAGAGGGGGCCGAAGCCGCGAGGCGGAGGAAAUCCUAAAAACUGGGCCCAGUUCGGACUGUAGGCUGCAACCCGCCUACACGAAGCCGGAAUCGCUAGUAAUGGCGCAUCAGCUACGGCGCCGUGAAUACGUUCCCGGGUCUUGUACACACCGCCCGUCACACCAUGGAAGCC
rnacentral:rRNA from 1 species